rnacentral:rRNA from 1 species
UACAGAGGUCCCAAGCGUUGUUCGGAUUCAUUGGGCGUAAAGGGUGCGUAGGCGGUGGGGUAAGUUGGAUGUGAAAUCUUGGGGCUUAACCUCAAAAUUGCAUUCAAUACUGCUCCGCUCGAGUUCUGUAGAGGAGAUUGGAAUUUACGGUGUAGCAGUGAAAUGCGUAGAUAUCGUAAGGAACGCCAGUAGCGAAAGCGAAUCUCUGGGCAGCAACUGACGCUGAGGCACGAAGGCCAGGGGAGCAAACGGG